UACGUAGGGGGCGAGCGUUGUCCGGAAUUAUUGGGCGUAAAGCGCGCGCAGGCGGCUUCUUAAGUCUGAUGUGAAAGCCCACGGCUCAACCGUGGAGGGUCAUUGGAAACUGGGAGGCUUGAGUGUAGGAGAGGAAAGUGGAAUUCCACGUGUAGCGGUGAAAUGCGUAGAGAUGUGGAGGAACACCAGUGGCGAAGGCGACUUUCUGGCCUAUAACUGACGCUGAGGCGCGAAAGCGUGGGGAGCAAACAGG
rnacentral:rRNA from 1 species